AAGGGGGUUCCGCAAGGAACAACCGGCAGACGGGUGAGUAACACGUAGGAAUGUACCUCGAAGUGGAGCAUAGCUCAUCGAAAGAUGGGGUAAUUCUCCGUAACUUCAAGACCGUAAGGUUUUGAAAAUAGUGCGUAACUGUACGCUUUGAGAGCAGCCUGCGUCCCAUCAGCUAGUUGGUAGGGUAAAAGCCUACCAAGGCUAUGACGGGUAGGGGGUCUGAGAGGAUGAUCCCCCACAAUGGCACUGAGACACGGGCCAUACACCUACGGGUGGCAGCAACUAGGAAUCGUCGGCAAUGGGCGAAAGCCUGACCGCGCGACACCGCGUGUAGGAUUAAGUCUCUCGGGAUGUAAACUACUGUGAUAAAGGAAGAAGGCCGAGCUUUGCUCGGUUUGACGGUACUUUAUUAGAAAGCCGCUACAAACUACGUGCCAGCAGUCGCGGUAAUACGUGGGCGGCAAGCGUUAUCCGGAUUUACUGGGCGUAAAGUGUGGGUAGGUGGUUUAGCGCAUCUUGUCUUAAAUGUCGAGGCUUACCCUCGUCACUGGAUAAGAGAUGGCUAAACUUGAGAGUAGGAGGGGAUAUUGGAAUUCUAGGUGAAGCAGUGAAAUGCGUUGAUAUCUAGAAGAACACCAAAGGCGAAGGCAAAUAUCUGGACUAUUUCUGACACUGAGACACGAAAGCUAGGGGAGCGAAGCAGAUUAGAGACCUGCGUAGUCCUAGCUGUAAACAAUGUCUGCUAGAUACCCCGCAGUUAAGAGUUUAAACUUUUGUUUGAACUUUUGAUUGUGGGGUGUCGUAAGCUAACGCGUUAAGCAGACCGCCUGGGGAGUACGAGCGCAAGCUUAAAACUCAAAGGAAUUGACGGGGAGCUGCACAACCGGUGGAGCGUGUGGUUCAAUUCGAGACAAAGCGAAAGACCUCACCAGGGUUUGACAUUCUAUCGUUUUAUUUUUCUGGAAACAGAGAAAGAUCCGCAAGGAUGGUAGAACAGGUGUUGCAUGGCUGUCGUCAGCUCGUGCCGUGAGGUAUCGGCUUAAGUGCCGAAACGAGCGCAACCCUUUUCGUUUGUUAUAUUUUCAAACGAUACUGCUUCGACAUUUGUUGAGGAGGAAGGAGAGGACGACGUCAAGUCAGCACGACCCUUAUACCCUGGGCCACACACACCCUACAAUGGCGAACAACAACGAGUCUCGCAACUUCGUAAGAAGAAGCAAAUCUCUGAAAUUUCGCCUCAGUUGGAAUUGCGGGCUGAAACUCGCCCGCAUGAACUCGGAAUCGGUAGUAAUCGCGGAUCAGCAGGCCGCGGUGAAUGCGUUCUCAGCUCUU
rnacentral:rRNA from 1 species